GGGGGGAGGCCGGAUCCUGGUCUGUGUCCCGGCGCCCUGCGCUAUUGGAUUCGGCUCUUGGCCGCGCUGCUCCCG
rnacentral:pre_miRNA from 1 species